CCCUGCCCUAUGAGUAUUUAAAUGGCUGCAGUAUUCUGACUGUGCAAAGGUAGCAUAAUAAUUAGUUUUUUAAUUGAGGACUUGUAUGAAUGGGAAUAUGAAAAAUAUAUUUUAUUAAUUUUAUUUUUAAAAUUUAAUUUUUAAGUAAAAAAGCUUAAUUUAUUUUUUGGGACGAGAAGACCCUAUAGAACUUAAAUUUUUUUAUAUAACAGUUUAUUUUGAUGAAUUAUUUAACUUUAUUAAAUUUUUUUUUGUUGGGGUGAUAAAUAAAUAUAAACUUUAUUUUUUUGAUUCACUUAUAAAUGUUUUAUUGAUCCAUAAAUUUGAUUGAAAGAUUAAGUUACCUUAGGGAUAACAGCGUAAUUUUAAUGGAAAGUUCUUAUUUAUAUUAUAGUUUGCGACCUCGAUGUUGAAUUAAGAUAAGAGUGACGGGUAG
rnacentral:rRNA from 1 species